AACGAACGCUGGCGGCAGGCUUAACACAUGCAAGUCGAACGGUAACAGGUCUUCGGAUGCUGACGAGUGGCGAACGGGUGAGUAAUACAUCGGAACGUGCCUAGUAGUGGGGGAUAACUACUCGAAAGAGUGGCUAAUACCGCAUGAGAUCUACGGAUGAAAGCAGGGGAUCGCAAGACCUUGUGCUACUAGAGCGGCCGAUGGCAGAUUAGGGAGUAGGUGGGAUAAAAGAUUACCAAGCCGACGAUCUGUAGCUGGCCUGAGAGGACGAUCAGCAACAAUGGGAAUGAGACACGGCCCAGACUCCUACGGGAGGAAGCAGUGGGGAAUUUUGGACAAUGGGCGCAAGCCUGAUCCAGCAAUGCGGCGUGCAGGAUGAAGGAGUUCGGGUUGUAAACUGCUUUUGUACGGAACGAAAAGCCCUGGGUUAAUACCCUGGGGUCAUGACGGUACCGUAAGAAUAAGCACCGGCUAACUACGUGCCAGCAGCCGCAGUAAAAC
rnacentral:rRNA from 1 species